rnacentral:rRNA from 1 species
GGUCUUGGUCUCGAACCUCACAUUACC